UGGACCUGGACAGGACUACGCGGAAACCUCCUCCCGGAGCCCUGAUAAAACAGGAGGGUAGGAGGGACACGCCUCUCCUGAGAGCACCCACCGUCUCCUUCUCUCCCCCUCAAGAGUUUCCUUUUACCCUUUUCCUGCUCCUCCUAAUAGACUCACGCCUGCUACCUGGAGGGACUCACCUGCAAUCCUCUGGCUUGACCGCAAACUCUGGGGGACCAGGAUCUCUCAGUUGCCUUGGCUCCGUGGAUGGCCUUGCUCUGCAGCAGCGAGACGUGGUAGGGAAAUGGCACCCCGUCGUGAAGGUGAUCAGCUCAACCAACCUUGCAGGGAGACCGCAGCCUCAGAGAACACGAUGAUUGACUUAAGAUCGUGGGACUGUGUUCCAGGGGGAGGCUGCUGUUGGUCCCCAGAAAUGUUACUGGGGACCAGUGGUUCUUCAGCCACAGAUUUCCAAAGAGGACCUUGCCAGGUAGUUGAGGGCAAUGUCACCUGCCAUUAGAGUCAUCGGAGCAGGAGCUGAGUGGCUUCAGGCAUUUAAGAUGACCACAGGGUUGAGCUGUUCCCCCUGCGAAUCUUAAGCCACUUGAGCAAGUUAUUCAACCUUUCUGCAUUUCAGUCCUAGAUGCUCGAAUAAUCCUCCCCUAGAAAGGCGAUCAUGAGACUUAAUGAAGGAAACCUUGUGGCUCCACUGGGCACAGGGCUUCGUGCAUAGUGGAGUGAGAAGAAAUAAAUCCUGUGGUCCAUUUUCAAAAUACAGUACAUAGCUUUAAAUGCGAAGUGACUUGGGAUGCAAGAAAGGCAGCCGGAGGGGAGGGCAGAAUGGAAAGUUACAAGUUGGGUCCCCCCAACUCAUCUGACCAAUAGAAUAAACCUCGUAGAUGCCAAAAGGCACAAGAAAACAAAGGGAGGUGGGGACAGCUAAAGGUACUGGUUCCUUGAAAAACCCAACAGGAGACAGUAAAACCUAGGACACUUUCAGGAAUACCCUAUACCCCAUGGUUCUCAGCCAGUGAGGACCUGGGGGAGGGACCCUGGGCUCUAGGGGUUAGAAGGCUGGCUGUCCCCAGUCUGGGUGUGCCUGCUCCCCCCAUCCCCCAGCCAACUCUUGCAAGACACCAGAUCUUGAUCUUGCAAGUCCCAUUAAAGCAAAGCCUGGCUUUCUGCUCUGCCUUAAGUCUCUUGGUUCACUCUUUGGAUGUGGACAGGUGAACGUGGUUCUCACAGCAGGGUGUGAGCGAAUGUGCGUUCCCUUCUUGCCUGCUGGUUGCUGGUCUUUGAAGCAGGAACAAGACCUGGCUCUUCCCUAGAAUUCGGGAGACAGGCAUUAGUGUGUCCGGACCAAGCAACUUCCCUUGAAAGGACAUUAGUUGUGGGGAAUGAGUCCUCGUGGUAAGGGGCUAUCCCUCACCUCUUGUUGGGGAGGGGGAUUAACUGGCGGGUGCCUGGGGACAGCAGCAGAGGUGCUGCAGAGACCCCGAUGUGGCCACUGCCAGACAUUGCAAGGCCAAGGUCAGGGUGCUAUUUCCUCCUAGCCCCAGGCCUGUUUGUACAUUUCCAGGAACUGCAAGUCAAUGGGCAGCUCCACCCUCAAGGGCGGCAGAGGACGGUUUGUUUUUCUCUGGGAUAAUUUCAUUUAAACUUCAGAGUGGACCCUGUCACUCACCAGUGCCCACUGGGUGAUGAAAAUGUCCAAACAGGGAGGAGGAGGAGCCAUUUAAACAAGGGGAGACAAACUUCUAAGUACCACUCUGCAGCCCUGCCCCAGCUCUGCAGUGUGUUGACUAAGUCCAGCUGCUGUGGACAGCCCGCUGCCCUGGAGGUCAAGGGUGAAGAUGGAAAGGAAUUGGCCAAGGUGGCUGCGUCUUCCACUCCCCACCGGGACCUGUCUCCCUCCUGUUCUUUGCUCAAGCUGAACACAGGCCUGAUCCUGGGGUCCUGGCGGCCCCCACCCCUGCAUCGGGGAGUCCUGUCUCGGGAGCAGGUCCGACACCUCUGCUCCUCUCUCUACCCGCUCUCAACACGUCAGUCUUUGCCAGGUUACACAGCCACCGCCUCGGUGCCUGUGUGCUGCUGUGAGGAGUACCGCAGAUUGGGUGGAGCGGACAACGGGAAUUGGUCCUCAGUUCUGGAGGUUGCAAGGUCAAGGUCAAGGUGUCAGUCGUUGACUCCUCCUGAGGGCUGUGGGGAGGAUCUGCUCUGGAUCUGCCCUGGCUCUGCGGGCUUGCAGACUCCUGGGGGAGCGUCCCCCUGGACCUGCCACCACCUCAGGACACCUCCCCUCUGUGGCCGGCCAUGGCCCCCAUUUUUAUAAAGACACAUUAUAUUGGGUUAAGGGUCACCUGAAUGACCUCACUGUCACCUCUGUAAGACCAUCUCUGCAUAAGCUCACGUUCUGAGGAGCGAGGUGGCCAGAAGGCCAACAUUUACUUUUGAAGUAGGACAAAAGUCAACUGGUAACUCCUCUGUGGUCCCUUGUCCCAGGCAGGGGCCAUCUUCAGAAACAAUUCAGGGCUCACUGGCCUCCUUCCUGACUCCUCCAGGAAACCCCCCUGCACCAGGAGAGGUGGAGCCCCUGGUCCCUGGCUGGUGUACAGAAGCUCCCACAUCGUCCUCUUCCUCCCUCCCUCUGUUGGCCUUUGAUAUGCUCCUCAGACACAUCAUGCCCCUUCUACCUUGAAGUCUUCACAGAAGCUCUUUGUUCUUUUUUUAGGAAACUGUCUCCCGAUCUGUCUGAGUCUGGCCACUUCCUGUGGUUCAGGUCUUUCAGAAAUGUCACUGCUGCAGGGGGCCACUUUGACCACGAGAUCAAAACCAGACGUCUCAUCCUUCCCCAGUGCACCACCCUAGUGCAGUUCUCUCCACGGCCCUUAUCACCGCGGGCCUUUCUACUUAUUCGUUUUGUUUCCCUCUUCCACCCAACCCCCUGGGAACCUCAGCUCGUCUGUCAGGUUCAUUUUUAGAUCCCCAGUGUUGGAAGAGUCCUUGGUACAUGGUGGCACCUGGUAGAUACCAACCACAUGAGCAUGUGAGUAUCUGACAGGAGCAGUCUGUGCUCCCUUUUUUGGCUAACUUAGGAAACAGGUAGGGACUUUACUCUGGAAAGAUCUUGUGGGUCAAGUUUUCUCAGCACGAUGGAGCUAUUGGCUGGGCAGGUCUUCGUGCUGCCCUGUGUGCCAGAGUGUUUACUAGAAUCCCUGACCUUCACCCACUAGAUUCCUGUCACCACCCCGUCCCCUGUGGCAAUACAAUGUCCCCACCCCAACCACCCCCACUGAGGGCCAUCUACAGCCUGUGUGACUAAUCACACCCACCUCUCCAGGCCAAGAGGACGGUGACCACCAGGGCCUGACCUGGACCCCUCUCCUUCCCAGGCUAGCUGGGUGUUUCCAUAUUAUAAAUGCUCCCCCUAGGUGCCUGGGGUGGGGGAUGCCAACAAGGGGCCUGGUGGGGUGAGCCCCUGCUGGGCCCUGGUGCCCCUGGCCCCAGCUGUCGUCAGAGCUGAGUAUCCCGACUUACACAAGGUCCAGGGAGGACAGCGAGGACACAGGAGGAAGCGGGAGGACAGGGGGCUUGGCAGCUCUCCACCUGGCCUCUGGGCAGAGCCGGCCAACCCUGACUCCCUGAGCCGCGGCUCGCGUCUUCACCAAGCUCGGCUGGGCUCUGGGCGCUGCGGCAUCCGGGACUCUCCACGCACCUCUCUUUCUUCAGUGCUCAGCCACGAGGCCCCACUGUAAAGCGCUUCCUGCUCCUUCCCCUUUGUGACUCAUCCCCCUCAGGGGCAGCUCUUGGUGGGGGUUGGGGACAGAGGCUUGUGGGAAGAGAAGAGGAUAAGUGAGAACCCAGGGGUGGGUCUUACCCUCAGGCCUGAGAUAUUCCUGUCUGCAAAGGGUCUUGGGGGAUGUCUGCCCCUGCUGGGGGGACAGCUGUAAUGACAAGGAUUUGGGGGGCUUUCCAAGUGGGAAAACAG
rnacentral:lncRNA from 1 species